UGGGGAAUAUUGGACAAUGGGGGCAACCCUGAUCCAGCAAUGCCGCGUGUGUGAAGAAGGCCUGCGGGUUGUAAAGCACUUUCAGUAGGGAAGAAAAGCUCGGGAUUAAUACCCCCGGGUCUUGACGUUACCUAAAGAAGAAGCACCGGCUAACUCCGUGCCAGCAGCCGCGGUAAUACGGAGGGUGCGAGCGUUAAUCGGAAUUACUGGGCGUAAAGCGCACGUAGGCGGUCAGAUAAGUCGGAUGUGAAAGCCCUGGGCUCAACCUGGGAACUGCAUUCGAUACUGUCUGGCUAGAGUAUGGGAGAGGGAAGCGGAAUUUCCGGUGUAGCGGUGAAAUGCGUAGAUAUCGGAAGGAACAUCAAUGGCGAAGGCAGCUUCCUGGCCCAAUACUGACGCUCAGGUGCGAAAGCGUGGGGAUCAAACAGG
rnacentral:rRNA from 1 species